GCCUUGGUCAUGAAAGGCGUAUAUACUAAAAUUGGAACAAUAUAGAGAAGGUAAGCAUGGCCCCUGUGAAAGGAUGGAUUGUUCAUACCCCUAUUAUAUACUGUUUUU